CCAUAAUAAGAGUGCUUCUCCUUUUUCUUCUUGAAAGCUGACUUCAAAACCAGCAAGAAAGCGAUCGCCAAAAACAACCCCGCUAAUCCACCGAUGAUAAUAGCAACCGUCUUCUGUGUAUUGCGGUGCCCAUCCCCACCACCCGUCUGCGUUUCACCCGUUUGUAUCCCACCACCACCACCACCACCGGUUCCUAUCAACAAAGCAAACCCACAUCAUCAUGUUGUUACUUUUGCUUAAAGUUCCAAGAAUAAAACAAAACGUCCACCCUGAAUCCCACUUUUGAUUCUUUACGCAUCAGGUGAUUAUUGAUGCUUUUCACUCCAUCUUCGAAACAUGGAAUGAUGGAAAUGACAUAACAUUAAACCGAUCGAUGGAUCAACUUACCUGAUCCGGGUACUCCAUUCGGGUAAUACGUAUAACUAACAUAACACUGCUGCAAAUAAAUCUGACCCGAAAUCGAACUCGCGCACGCACUCCGCGCAUUCUCCACCGCGGAUCUCACACAACUCACACAAUCCGCACUCCCCAAAUCACCUUCACACUGCCCCAACACAUAAACCGAUUCAAACUCACCCGCAUAAUACCCUUUUCCACUCGCAACCCCAUUCACAAUCUGCCCCAACGCAGACUCUAUCCUGUCAUCAAACCCGGACCCGCUCGCCCGACCCGACCCGCACUGUUUAAACAAAAGAUCCGUCGGUGACGCCGGCGGGAACCCGACAACCUCGUAUCUUAAAUAACAGCCGUCAAGUUGGACUCUGGCGGCGAUGGUAUCUCCGCCGCAAACUUUUUGGAUGGUUUCUGGGAUUUUUUUGACGCAGGUGUUGCAGUCGGAGUUGGGUAAAUCUCCUCUGCACUGGUAAAGACCGGUGACGGAGGUGGCUAACUGGUUGUUGCCGGUGGUGGUGUUGAAGAAAUUGGUGGAGGAUGAUUGGGAGAUGAGGGUUUGGUAUAAGGAUUGGAGGUUUUGUGAUGAGAUUCCAGAUGGGUCUUGGAAUUUUUGAUUUGCACAGCCUUUGUAGAUGAAUUUAGUGAGGUCUACUACUGAUGAUGAGGAGGGUGUUGAAGAGUAGAUGGAGAGAAUGAGGAGGAAGAUGUGUGAUUUUGAUGAUGGACACAUGGUUGGUUGUUAAUUUUGAGAAUUUGGGGAAGUGGUGGAGUGGUAUGAUUUGGGGGUUGUUUUUAAUGGAUUUGUUGGUGUGGUGAGUCAUAGAUGUAAUUGAUUUUGUGUUCAUAUUCAAAUCUUGUUUUUAAUUGAUUUUGUGUUC
rnacentral:lncRNA from 1 species